rnacentral:rRNA from 1 species
GAUGAACGCUGGCGGCGUGCCUAAUACAUGCAAGUCGAGCGAACAGACGCGGAGCUUGCUCCUCUGACGUUAGCGGCGGACGGGUGAGUAACACGUGGAUACCCUACCUAUAAGACUGGGAUAACUUCGGGAAACCGGAGCUAAUACCGGAUAAUCUAUUGAACCGCAUGGGUCAAUAGUGAAAGACGGUUUUGCUGUCACUUAUAGAUGGUUCCGCGCCGCAUUAGCUAGUUGGUAAGGUAACGGCUUACCAAGGCAACGAUGCGUAGCCGACCUGAGAGGGUGGUCGCCCGCACUGGAACUGAGACACGGUCCAGGCUCCUGCGGGAGGCAGCAGUAGGGAAUCGUCCGCAAUGGUCGGAAGCCUUGCGGAGCGACGCCGCGUGAGUGAUGACGGUCUUCGGAUCGUGAAGCUCGGUUAUUAGGGAAGAACCAAUGUGUAAGUAGCUAUGCACGUCUUGACGGUACCUAGUCAGGAAGCCACGGCUAACUACGUG